rnacentral:rRNA from 1 species
UACGGAGGGUGCGAGCGUUGUCCGGAAUCACUGGGCGUAAAGGGCGCGUAGGCGGCUGGGGAAGUCGGCGGUGAAAGCCCGGAGCUCAACUCCGGGUCGGCCGUCGAGACUCCUCGGCUCGAGCUCACUAGAGGCAGAUGGAAUUCCGGGUGUAGCGGUGGAAUGCGUAGAGAUCCGGAAGAACACCGGUGGCGAAGGCGGCCUGCUGGGCUAUGGCUGACACUGAGGCGCGACAGCGUGGGGAGCAAACAGG